rnacentral:rRNA from 1 species
AGAAAUCUCACCAGGCCCGGACACUGGAAGGAUUGACAGAUUGAUAGCUCUUCCUUGAUUCGGUGGGUGGUGGAGCAUGGCCGUUCUUAGUUGGUGGAGCGAUCUGUCUGGUUAAUUCCGAUAACGAACGAGACCCCAACCUGCUAACUAGCCCUCGGGUCCUGCUUCUGUUGGGCCCGACGGAAUGAUUCGCUUCUUAGAGGGACUCGCGGCGCCUAGCCGCACGAAGGGGGGCGAUAA